CUCUUUUCAGCAGACAUAUACUGAAAUUGGUAUUAUGCAGAGAAAUUUAGCAUGGUCUUUAUACAAGAAAGACACACACAUUUGUACAGUGUCCCCUACUUAA